rnacentral:rRNA from 1 species
UGGGGAAUAUUGCACAAUGGGCGCAAGCCUGAUGCAGCCAUGCCGCGUGUAUGAAGAAGGCCUUCGGGUUGUAAAUUACUUUCAGCGGGGAGGAAGGGAGUAAAGUUAAUACCUUUUCUCAUUGACGUUACCCGCAGAAGAAGCACCGGCUAACUCCGUGCCAGCAGCCGCGGUAAUACGGAGGGUGCAAGCGUUAAUCGGAAUUACUGGGCGUAAAGCGCACGCAGGCGGUUUGUUAAGUCAGAUGUGAAAUCCCCGGGCUCAACCUGGGAACUGCAUCUGAUACUGGAAAGCUUGAGUCUCGUAGAGGGGGGUAGAAUUCCAGGUGUAGCGGUGAAAUGCGUAGAGAUCUGGAGGAAUACCGGUGGCGAAGGCGGCCACCUGGACGAAAACUGACGCUCAGGUGCGAAAGCGUGGGGAGCAAACAGG